AGAGUUUGAUCCUGGCUCAGGACGAACGCUGGCGGCGUGCCUAACACAUGCAAGUCGAGCGAGAAACUUCGGUUUCUAGCGGCGGACGGGUGAGUAACACGUGGGUAACCUGCCUCAAAGAGGGGGAUAGCCUCCCGAAAGGGAGAUUAAUACCGCAUAACAUUAGAUCUUCGCAUGGAGAUUUAAUUAAAGGAGCAAUCUGCUUUGAGAUGGACCCGCGGCGCAUUAGCUAGUUGGUGAGGUAACGGCUCACCAAGGCGACGAUGCGUAGCCGACCUGAGAGGGUGAUCGGCCACAUUGGAACUGAGACACGGUCCAGACUCCUACGGGAGGCAGCAGUGGGGAAUAUUGCACAAUGGGCGAAAGCCUGAUGCAGCAACGCCGCGUGAGUGAUGAAGGCCUUCGGGUUGUAAAACUCUGUCUUCUGGGACGAUAAUGACGGUACCAGAGGAGGAAGCCACGGCUAACUACGUGCCAGCAGCCGCGGUAAUACGUAGGUGGCAAGCGUUGUCCGGAUUUACUGGGCGUAAAGAAUGCGUAGGCGGAUAUUUAAGUCAGAUGUGAAAUACCCGAGCUUAACUUGGGGGCUGCAUUUGAAACUGGAUAUCUAGAGUGCGGGAGAGGAGAGUGGAAUUCCUAGUGUAGCGGUGAAAUGCGUAGAGAUUAGGAAGAACACCAGUGGCGAAGGCGACUCUCUGGACCGUAACUGACGCUGAGGCAUGAAAGCGUGGGGAGCAAACAGGAUUAGAUACCCUGGUAGUCCACGCCGUAAACGGUGGGUACUAGGUGUAGGAGGUAUCGACUCCUUCUGUGCCGCAGUUAACACAAUAAGUACCCCGCCUGGGGAGUACGGUCGCAAGAUUAAAACUCAAAGGGAAUUGACG
rnacentral:rRNA from 1 species